GUUUCAGUCAUGUCGAGAAGAAUCGUUUUUCAGCUAUGAAGAACUUCAUUCAAAGACUCAGAGCUCCAGGGCGCAAAGUUCAAACGGUGACACCUGUGCAAAAGUCAUUGGAGCCGUUCUGUCUGCAGUACACAUACCCGAAAUGUCCUCAACCAAAACAUAUUACAGGUAAGAGGAACACAUAUUUUAUAAUCAAUGUCUGAUCAUUAGAUAAACUCAGGCCAGCCACAGACUUCCUGAUUAUACAGUAGGCUGUAGUAGGUGUUAUAUGAUAAAUAAAAUGUGAUGAAUGCAAUAUGGUAAUCAGACAUUCCACAGGAAACUGAACCAGCUUAACAGUUGUUAUUUUGAACAUACAGAUAUGGACCCAGCACAAAACACAGUUGAGGACCUCAUGUUGAGGAUCGGUCAUCUUGAAACUGUUGGCAAUUCUAAAGGAGUCUGCCUCUACACAAUCGAUGGGAUGCCCUUGACAGAUGAUCCCUUCUUCAACACAUGGUCUUUGAAAGACAGACAUAUCCGGACUGGAGACGUAAUUUACGCCAUCUUUACACCGAAGGAAAACCUGAAACAGGCUCCACAGAUACCAAAACGAGAGACUGGUGAAACCUAUGGAGACAGUGUGGUUCGAUGCCAUGUCAUGCUCAAGGUGUUUGGUGCUGAUCACAGAGUGAAGAUACGGGUAUUCCAGACAAAACAGUUUUUUAAAUGGUUUUUAUUUUCUUCGUACAGGGAGACUUUGAGGUGACAGUGAACUUGGCAUGUGACACCAUAACCAGUCUGAGACUCAAGCUGGCAAAUGAGAGUGGAAUCCCGGCACAUGUCCUUUAUUACAAGUAAUUUUAGAAUUAAUGACACCAAGCAUUGAUAUUAUGCUUAUUGUGAUCAUCUCUGUCAUAGUACUGCUGUGCUGUCUACUUCAUUUCAUAUUUGCAGGGGUCGACAUUGUGGAGGAGACAUACUGCAAGGUUGUGGAAUCUCUGAAGGGUCGACAGUUUUCUUCUCUUUGUCCACGUUUUCUGCUGAGACUUCGUAUGAGGAGACAUUCUUCAUCAAUGAUGUCGUGCCUUCAGUCCAACAAUCCCAGAAAGGAAUCAGUGUGUUCUUGUCUUCACUUUACGCCCUUGUAAGUUUUAUGUUUUAAUACAUUAUCAGUCUGUACUGUACUUGCACAUGCAUGCCAACAUGCUAAACUAAGGAUGAUCAUGGAACCGAUUAAUUCUGUUUAGCGACAGCAUAUUAGCAUUGUCAUUAUGAGCAUGUCGGGAUCAUAGUUUUCUGUUAGCAUGCUGACUUUAGCAUUUAGCAUAUAUCAUAUAAUUUAUAGCUCAUAGACUUGUUUCCAGAUUAAACGUAACAGUUAACUGAUCUGAAAAGAUGGCAAAUCUAGUUAAAAAGGUAAAAGUUUCUGCAUUGUAAAUUCAUUUUACCCCAACUUCUCAUGUGUGAUUCACCCUGUUUUGAAAUCCUUUUUUUUUUGUUUUUCUCUCUCCUUCUAGCGAUGUUGUUAUAAGGGAGAGAAAAUGAAGAAACUGAUUUCUUACAUACGGAAACUGACUGGAUGUCACCCUCUCGCCCAAAGUUUGUAUCAGUUAUUCAGCAGGAAUGAAACACUAACCAGGAAUCAGAAGGUAAACUAUGAACUGGUAUAAUUCUGACUUUAACAUCCUCUCCUAUUGCACUUUUUUAAAUGUUCUAGUGUGCUGGAUUUUAUUUUGAGGAUUUGCAUUAAUGGUCAAAGCAGUAGAUAUCUCUGCACACAACAUGUUCACCCUGUGCAGCGUUUCAAAAGGAAGUUUUCCUCAAUUUUGGGUGAACUGAACCUUUACACAGAAAGUGUACUUUCACCAGUACCCGUAUCUUCAGGUCUCCUUGUUUCGUUUUUUUGUUUUUGUUUUUUUUUUGGCAGAUUUCAGUUAUUGAAGGCCUUUACGUGCUCUUCAGAGAGCUUUUGCCUCAACCUGGAAGACAAGGGGAGAAAGUCAUUGAGGACCUGGACAUCUUUGAGAAUUCACAGUACUGCUGGGCACAUCUUGUAUCAGAGGCAGAGGUACGAUGAUAGUAAGGUUUUGAUAUGAGCUUGUUGAGGGUAACGGCAGUGAUUUUAGACUGAAGUCUCUCAAGUAUUUACUUGUAUUUUUUAUUGUAUAUGAUAUCUAUGACACCUUGGUAGAGGUGGCCAUUAAUUUGAGCCUAUAGGUGAUACAUGAUUAGAAUAUUCAUUAAUGCAUGAAGGCAAAUUCUGCAUUGACUAUUUUUGACAGAAACAGGAAUCGGAUCUUGAGAGCUACGCGCCAAUCACUCUCACGUCGGAAGAUGGCAGCCGUUUCUGCGAACCAGUCAGAGUACCCGGUGUACCCGGUCCCCUUGAACGAGCGCAUGUUCUCCUGAAAAUCAAAGGUAAAACUCAGACAUUGUUACAUAACACAUCACGUAUGAGGAAACACAUUGCAGAAGAAAAUGAAGGUAGGUGUUCCGCGGUUUAUUCAACUGCUCAGCCUUUUCACUUUUAUUGUGAAGCUGCUAUUGUUGAACUGAUAACGGCUCUGUGCAGCAAGGUAUGGAGGCAGUUGCAGUGAGAUACUUGGAUUAAGAGCUACUGACACUCACUGCAGUUUGUGCCGAACAUCAAGCCUCAAAAACACCUUUCUGGUGACGUCCUGUUGUAUGGAAUCACUUAUUGUCUGCAUCUAACUCUGUGAUUAUGGUCGCUUGUGUCAUGUUUAUCCCAACUGUAUGGAGAUUCAGGAAGAGUACUUAUAACAUGUAUU
ensembl:lncRNA